GUUUUUCUUUUAAAUACGUUAUAUUAAAGAUAUGCCUAAACAUUAAUUACUAACAAAGAAAUAUUGAAAAGAUCUUUACCAAUGACGAUUAUCUAUAUUGUAUCUACAAUAUAAUAUACAUACAUACCUAUAUAUACGUGUGCAUACAUAGAUGUAUAUAUAUGAUUAAUAUACACACACACACACGCUAUACACUAUUAUGUUUUGUAUUUCUCUUCUUGCAUUCAUUCUAAACAUCGAACUUUCUUUUUGGUCAAUUAUAUACACCCGUUCUAUUUUUAAUUAUUUCUUCAUAAUGUUCGUAGAUUCGUUAAUCCAAAAGUGGGAGAAUUAUAUCACUUCAGACAACAUAAGUUGGGGUCGGUCAGUCAGUCAGUCAGUCGGUCAGAAUUCCUCUGGUCCUAGAAAGAAGGGCCACGCUUAUCACCUCUUUAUUUAUGCACGGGGGUGUCUAAGACUUGAGGUCGGGACCCCAGCAGACAUAAUCGAAGGGUCGUUGCUGUAAGAGGAAACACAUGAAGACGUUGAGAUUAGGGGUUUGCUUCAGAUGCUUGCUAUAAAGUGAACCCUACUAAAGGGACCCUAGCAGAUAUAAUCGAAGGGUCGUUGCUGUAAGGGGAAACACAUGAAGACGUUGAGAUUAGGGGUUUGCUUCAGAUGCUUGCUAUAAAGUGAACCCUACUAAAGGGACCCUAGCAGAUAUAAUCGAAGGGUCGUUGCUGUAAGGGGAAACACAUGAAGACGUUGAGAUUAGGGACAUUGAGAUUAGGGGUUUGCUUCAGAUGCUUGCUAUAAAGUGAACCCUACUAAAGGGACGCAGGGGACUUGUUAUGGAUAUGUUAAACUGGGUGGUCAUUUUUAUGUCUUCCAUCCUUGUUCUAGCAUUCUUCCCCAGCUGAGCCAAUUUUUAAACCCCUGAAAUGAAAUAUUUAUUGUAACCCCAAAAAUAAAAUAUCUAUUGUAAUCCCUAAAACAAAAUAUUUAUCAUUAAGGGCACAAGUGCCUCUUGUUGCUGUGUGUGUGUGUAUGGCUGGAGUUGAACCCCUCUUUUAGAGAAGUGCUCAUCUCAUGUAGUCCCUUUAUUAUACCCUCCCUUCCACCACCACAUCCUAAAGUGGACCCUGAUCUAAAGGAAUGACUAAAGCGUGAUUGUUUGGCAAUAAAGGAUAAAAUCCCUAA